AUCUAUACAGUGAAACUGCGAACGGCUCAUUAAAUCAGUUAUCGUUUAUUUGAUAGUACCUUACUACUUGGAUAACCGUGGUAAUUCUAGAGCUAAUACAUGCUAAAAGUCCCAACCCUCCGGAUGGGACGUAUUUAUUAGAUAAAAAACCAAUGCCUUCGGGCUUCUUGGUGAUUCAUGAUAACUUUACGAAUCGCAUGGCCUUGUGCCGGCGAUGGUUCAUUCAAAUUUCUGCCCUAUCAACUUUCGAUGGUAGGAUAGUGGCCUACCAUGGUUUCAACGGGUAACGGGGAAUUAGGGUUCGAUUCCGGAGAGGGAGCCUGAGAAACGGCUACCACAUCCAAGGAAGGCAGCAGGCGCGCAAAUUACCCAAUCCCGACACGGGGAGGUAGUGACAAUAAAUACUGAUACAGGGCCCAUUUGGGUCUUGUAAUUGGAAUGAGUACAAUUUAAAGCCUUUAACAAGGAACAAUUGGAGGGCAAGUCUGGUGCCAGCAGCCGCGGUAAUUCCAGCUCCAAUAGCGUAUAUUAAAGUUGUUGCAGUUAAAAAGCUCGUAGUUGAACCUUGGGUCUGGGUGACCGGUCUGCGUCCCCGCAUGCACUGGAAACCCGGAUCUUUCCUUCUGGAGAAUCGCAUGCCCUUCACUGGGUGUGUCGGGGAACCAGGACUUUUACUUUGAAAAAAUUAGAGUGUUCAAAGCAGGCAUUUGCUCGAAUACAUUAGCAUGGAAUAAUAGAAUAGGACGUGCGGUCCUAUUUUGUUGGUUUCUAGGACCGCCGUAAUGAUUAAUAGGGAUAGUCGGGGGCAUCCGUAUUCGAUUGUCAGAGGUGAAAUUCUUGGAUUUUUCGAAGACGAACUACUGCGAAAGCAUUUGCCAAGGAUGUUUUCAUUAAUCAGGAACGAAAGUUGAGGGAUCGAAGACGAUCAGAUACCGUCGUAGUCUCAACCAUAAACUAUGCCGACUAGGGAUCGGGCGAUGUUUAAAUCUGACUCGCUCGGCACCUUACGAG
rnacentral:rRNA from 1 species